CUAGUCUUGACAUCCAGCGAAGCCUUUAGAGAUAGAGGCGUGCCUUCGGGAGCGCUGAGACAGGUGCUGCAUGGCUGUCGUCAGCUCGUGUUGUGAAAUGUUGGGUUAAGUCCCGCAACGAGCGCAACCCUUAUCCUUGUUUGCCAGCACAUAAUGGUGGGAACUCCAGGGAGACUGCCGGUGAUAAACCGGAGGAAGGUGGGGACGACGUCAAGUCAUCAUGGCCCUUACGAGUAGGGCUACACACGUGCUACAAUGGCAGAUACAGAGGGCAGCGACGCUGCGAAGUAGAGCGAAUCCCUUAAAGUCUGUCGUAGUCCGGAUUGGAGUCUGCAACUCGACUCCAUGAAGUCGGAAUCGCUAGUAAUCGUGGAUCAAAAUGCCACGGUGAAUACGUUCCCGGGUCUUGACACACCG
rnacentral:rRNA from 1 species